rnacentral:lncRNA from 1 species
CAUUGAAAACAUCGAUCACUUGGGUUUCUUUAUUUAUCGACUGUGUCAUGACAAGGAAACUUACAAACUGCAACGCAGAGAAACUAUUAAAGGUAUUCAGAAACGGGAAGCCAGUGAUUGUGUCACAAUUCGGCAUUUUGAAAACAAAUUUGCCGUGGAAACUUUAAUUUGUUCUUGAACAGUCAAGAAAAACAUGAAGAAAAAUUUAAUACCACAGCAUAACCCCAUCCUUUGUAUUUUGUGCAGUGAUUAUUUUUUAAAUCUACUUUCAU